UACGUAGGGUGCAAGCGUUGCCCGGAUUUAUUGGGCGUAAAGGGUGCGUAGGCGGUCGCGUAAGUCAGGUGUGAAAUCUCAGGGCUCAACCCUGAAACUGCACUUGAUACUGCGUGGCUCGGGUACUGGAGAGGAGACUGGAAUUUACGGUGUAGCAGUGAAAUGCGUAGAUAUCGUAAGGAAGACCAGUGGCGAAGGCGAGUCUCUGGACAGUUACCGACGCUGAGGCACGAAGGUCAGGGGAGCAAACGGG
rnacentral:rRNA from 1 species